CGGCGGCGGAGCAGGUGGCGGCGGGGGCGGGGGGCGCGGCGCCGGGCUGGGCGCGCCGGCACGCGCUGCUCGACAACACGCCGCCCACCACACCUGACAGCAGCCUCGACCUGUCACCACAUCGAGAGCGGCGGCUGUCGGAGCGCGACAGUCCCUUGGAGCGCAAGGAGGAGGACGAGGACGGCGCCGCGCGCUCGCCGCACCACAUGGACCUCGACAAACCUCACACGAGUCGUUCGCGCAAAGCGUCUGAGAGUUCGGCGGCGGGGCGUGGCCGCGCGCGGCGCGCACGACGCGACACCGACGAGCACGCGCACGCGCAUCUGCCGCUCUCGCACAACGCGCACCAUGCGCCUUACAAGUACAACUUCAUACUGGACCUGGGUACACAUUUAUAUAAUAAUCAAAAUAUGCUUAUCACCUAAAUAAUACUUUCAAACAGAUUCUUAACAGCUCUAUUCCACUUUUGAUGUCACCAGGUUUGAGUUUCCGGUCAUAACUUAUUUAAUUAUCAAUUUUGUAAUAUCUAACAAAAGCAUGCUUUAUAGACAUUUGUCUUGCUGUUGACGAAAAACCAUUGAUUAUUUCGGCCUAUUUGUCCUUAAGUGCGUUUGUUCCGGAUAAUUUUUUUUUAAGCGUGCACGAGCAAUCACUAAUAUUAUAAAUGCGAAAGUUUG